CGUGGAUGUGGCAGACCAGGACCCCCACCUGCUCCUCUCUUCAGCGUACUCAUGCUCCGUUCUAGGUAGGGUCCAUUUCAACGGUCCGGCUUAUGACAAGGCAAUGGGAUCCCAGGGAGCCUGGAUGACUCUCCCUUGCCCAGGAGUGGGCAGAAGCUCGCCCAUCCCAGUAGGAUGUCUGCUGGCAAAUUCCAGCAGAGGACUCCGUUCCCAGCCUUGCUGCUGCUUCUGGUUUAUAGGUGAGAUGGUCCUCCAUUCAAAGUCAAGUUCGUUUGCCCAGCUUGCACAUCAUGACCUUGGAAAUACACCCUCAUCACUGUCUACUUGACAAGGACAUCCAUACGUGAUGCUCAGCUUCUCUAAUCUCCUGAUGAUGAUGGAGACAUGGAGACGUGGAGACGGCGAAGCUUGGCGAGGCCAGAAGUGUUGUCCUCACAAACCGAGGCAUAUCUAGAACACCCAUGCAGAGGGAGGCAGCUGCCGUAAUCAAUCUGCCAGUCCUUCACAGGUUGGGAACUCCGGUGGCGUCUUUGGAUAUAAGUCACCCACCUGGGGACCAGGGUGACCACUUCCUGGGCAUCCAGUCUGCUGUGUCUACUAAACGCCCACAUCCAUUCCUGGCGUUCCUCAGUUGUGCCCAGGUCAGCAGAGAUUGCCCAACAUUGUAAGUGUCCUACCCCAGGACUGGGCUCAGCGUGGGUAUCAGUGUCCCACAGCAGGUGCUGGGAUGGACUGGAGAAUCUUGGCUUUCUUCGCUGCAGAGAAUGUACCCCAUCAGGGGCCCAAGACGGGCUGCAGAUGUCCCGCCCCACUCCCAACUCCAUAAGAAUUUGUUGUGCCUCCUCUACAGAUGGGCCAGAAAGUGCUGCUCAUUGGACCAAGCCUCCCUGCAGGACAGAAGAAUCGAGUCCGUAAGGAAUUGAGCACCUUAACCACCUGAGCACCACGCAGUUGUUUCCAGAGGGCCAGGCGGGGAGAGAUGUUGCUCAUUCUUUCUGCUUUCUGCCCGCUCACAGAAAACCCAUCACCUCCACACUGCCACUCCCCGAAAGUCAACCAGGGGAGUGCUCUGUGGUCAGAGAGAGGUUGAAGGAUGCUCCCCCAUGAGAUGCUGCCACACUCCACAGAGUGACGUGCUUGUCAUACAGGAUUGUGCGAGACCCUCUUUAGGCCUUGUGGUGGGGCUCUACUAUGUCCCCUGUGUCAUUCUGGAUGUCAGAAGCCCUGAGGGUUAUGACAGAAUGUGACCUUGGCCAUGACAGAGACAAAGGAGCCAUCAGAGGAGGUCCCUGCUGCUUCUAUAAAUACACUGUCCAUCUCUCUACCUGCCUAAGAGGGAUAGGCUAGGUCAGCAGUCGGCUCUUAAUAUACAACAUCCCACAGUCCUGAUUUUGCACCCAGAAGGAUCACCCCUAGGCUUGUUGGGAAGAACUUCAGACACCAUUCUUCUAUACAAUCAUCCUGAGUUCUGGAUGUCCAUAGCUUCCACACUGCAGUCUUCCCGGUGCCUUCAGUACCUUCCUUGCUGUCACCAUAUCCAACAGCAGUAGCACCAAGGAGCGAUCCUUUCACAAGCCCACCACAACAAGUAGCUAACUGAGAUCCAUAGGACCAGUCUCCGGGUUCUCACUGAAAUGAUCUUAUGUCCCUCUGGGGACGCUGACCCUGGUUUGGGAAUUACUGGUUGAGAUGAACAAAUGGAAGCGGACUUCUCAUGGUGUUAUGUACCCACCCACUAAAAUUAGGGCGGUUGGAUGCACCACAUCAUUCUCCCUCUUAACAGGGAUCAAUGGUUCACCCUCUAGAAAUAUGGGGUGCUCCUUCCCAGAACUUCUGUCUGCUGCUCUGAACAAGGAACAUGUGUCAUUUCCUGAGACCACAGCCAACUUUCCCCUGCUCUGGGGAGGGGACCUUAGAGAAUGGUUAUGGGGGGAGGACACAGAGAUCACAUGGGGAUCACAGAUUGAGUACAAGAUGUCCCAGGUUGGGUCUCCAGUGCAGCAGUCCCUCACAUGGAAAGUAGCAUGUAGGAAAUUUAUUAGGGAGUGGUCUCAGCAUCGAGAAUCAUCAUGGGAAGGGAACAAGCUCGUGCAGAGGGAGGAGCAGAUGGUCAGCUUGGAAGCAUCUCUGUGAAGAUCUCAGCCAAUCCCAGAGACAACCUGAGGCUGGGACAAUCUCUCAGAGUGGCCUUGAGUCGUGUGAAGGAGCCUUGCUCUCAUGCCCCAUGUUCUCCAGCCUUUGGACGCACUGCUGUGGAAAAGGACAGUGAUCCUGAAUGACACGGUCAAGGCACGUUCCAAAGAGGGCUGAUGACUGAGCACUCUGCAGGUGGAAACCUCAGCCACGGGGGAGAUCAAUCCUGCAUUCUGACACAGGAGUUGGGUGGCUCAUCCCAGCAUCCGCUGCACAAAAGGAGAGUCAAUUUUGAGCACAUUUCUGUGCAAGGGGCAGAACCUUGCCUCCCUGCUUAGGAACAUGUGGCCUCCAGAUACCAGAACUCAUUUCAGAAACUCCAAUUUCCCCAGGAGGGUGAGUGUGGGCAACUGUGGUGGGCAUCAUUGGGCAUGUGCUUGGGCCUCACUGGGUAGACAUGGUGGGGAGGAUACUGUAGGAUACUAACCCUCAUGUGAAGGACACCCCUGAGGAUCUUCAAUCCCUCUUUCUUCUCAUGUUUCCAUACUUAUCUCAAGCCCAAAUGCAUCUCCAUGACACUGUCUCCUUUCUGCCCUAGUCUAUCCCAUCUGUCUUUCUCCUGUAGUCCUCCUGUUUUGUGAACUAUGGCUCCCAGCUGUUCUCCGCAUGGUGUUGGGGACCACUCCUUGUAGCCUCUGUGGCCAGCUGAUGGGCCUCUGUGGGCCAGUAUGAUGCCCUAUGGAACAGAGAAGGUGACCACGUGUCCUGUUGGUUUGGAUCUGAGGUAGGACAGUGAGCAACCCCUGCAGAUGUUUCUGGUGGCCUCCCCCAAGAGGAGCAAAGGAUCGUGUGCCAGAAUCAUGUGCCAGGUUGAAAGCUACCAUGGCAGGUACAAAGGGUAAGUUGAGCUGCUCUAUCUACCAAACAGGCCAGACACCUAAGACGACUGGGGAUGUGGGAGGGCUCGCCACCCUUGCCUCUCUCUGCCUCUCUCCAAUUAAUUCAUAAAUUCAGUGAAAUCCCCAUAAAAAUCCCAUUGGACAAUUUGAGCAAUUUAAUAUACCUACUCUAUCAUUUUUAUAGAAUAAUAAAAAUCUAUAAAAGACUUUGGUAAACAUUUUUGGACACAAAGAUAAUUUAACAAAGAAAAACAAGGAGGGGUCUUAUGUCAUCAGAUAUUGCCAGAGCAAUGAAGGUGGUGUAAUGUAUGUGUAAAAUCAAGCAAAACAAGGAACGAAACAGAGAGAUCCUAAGCAGGCCCCAUGUACGUAUGGAAACUGAAAGUUGACCCCACCAGAUAAUGGGGAUGGAUGACCUCUUUAGCACAUAAUGUUGGGCCUACUCUCCAGAGGGAAAAAAGUCAGAUCUAUACUUAAUAUCAAAUGUAAAGUUGGACUCUCGUAGACCUGAUCCAUGAAAAACAAAAGACUAUAAAAUCAAGGGAAGAUACUCUAGGAGAUUUUCGUCGUGACUUUGGGGUUGGGAAGGGCUUCUUACACAAACACAAAUUAAAAGGUGAAAAAACAGGGGCACCCGGGUGGCUCAGUGGGUUAAGCCUCU